GAGCUUCCAGGAUCACCCCUGUAGAGUGAAUAAUAUUCUGCCAGCUUUGGAAAUGGAGGGAAAGCAAGCCUGGCAGAAGCACCCAUUUCAUUCCCAGCUUGCUCAGUAGCUGGCCAUGGGAAGACACUGCAACACUG
ensembl:snoRNA